rnacentral:rRNA from 1 species
AAAACACAAACGAACGCUGGCGGCGUGCCUAACACAUGCAAGUCGAACGGAGUUGAGGGGCUUGCUCCUCAAUUUAGUGGCGCACGGGUGAGUAACGCGUAGAUAAUCUGCCUGAUGAUCUGGGAUAACACUUCGAAAGGGGUGCUAAUACCGGAUAAGCCCACGAUGUCUUUGGACAUUGCGGGAAAAGGGGGGGACUUUCGGGCCUUCUGUCAUCAGAUGAGUCUGCGUACCAUUAGCUAGUUGGUGGGGUAAGAGCCUACCAAGGCGACGAUGGUUAGCUGGUCUGAGAGGAUGAUCAGCCACACUGGAACUGAGACACGGUCCAG